ACCUGCAUACAGGUUUCUCAAGCGGCAGAUCAGGUGGUCUGGUAUUUCCAUCUCUUUCAGAAUUUUCCACAGUUUCUUGUGAUCCACACAAUCAAAGGCUUUGGCAUAGUCAAUAAAGAAUAAAUCUGUGUAAAUCCUAUAGGCAGCAGAGGGCUUCCUAAGUAUUUAUUACACAGGACUUCUCUAUGGAAAUAAAGAUCUCACCUUCUCAGGUGAUUACUUUGGGAAGAUCCUGUUCAUUUACAGAAGCAGGGGAGCACUUUACACCAUUGCCUGAGAAUGUCUUGUGGCCCCAGCUAUACUUGGAACUUUCCUUCUUACUCUUCUCUCCCUCUGCUGAUUGCUUCUCAGAAUGGGCCUGUGACUAUCCCCACCUUUACUUUGUCUUUCUUCUUGUACCAAGUGAAACCUGCAGAGACUAGACUGGCAGUGGCCAUGGAUGUAUCCUUUUGAAGCACUGGUACAUGUAAGGAUGCUGGUAGUUCUGGACCACUGAAAUUUUCCUUGUAUUACAAGAAAGGAAGGAAUGGUAAAGUUGGAUAAAAUUGAGUCAUUUUUUUUCCUUUCCUGUUUUUCUGACCAACCAUAAGCAAACCCUUCAGAAAACCACAGAAGAGAUGUACCUGGAAUAAGAGGAAACUCUAAACACCCAUGGAGGAGACAGUCUCCACUGAGGAACCAUCUUUGGUGACUGUGGAGACACCAGCCUUCCUCAAGCUGAAGAACUUGGUGUGAUGUGAUCCUCUCCUAUAGCACCUUCAUCGCUAUAGCCAGGUGCCCAGAGAUUUCUACAAGCUGAGGGCUCAGGUUGGGCUCACAGUCCCUGUCAUUUAAACAGUGCUGCUUGAUUGCCCACGUGGAACCCCCUCAGCUAAUCCAACAGUACAAGAUACCUCCCCAGUCCUGCCAAAGAACUCAGUAAAAAGCCUGCUUCCUAUUCUCUGGGGAUGAAAUAGGAUGGAUUUCAUACCUGAAAAAUGAAAGAGAAUUGAACCCAAACACAAAUAGUAUCUCUCCGUCACUUGACUGAAACUCUGCUGAGAGCUAGACUGGCAAACCCAUCACCUGACAACGUUCACUCAUAUGGGCUCCAAGGAAAAAUUGGAGCCUAACAUCAACUUUUGGAGUUGGAGUUGCCUAACUCAGAAGUCAGAAAAUCUCAUUGGUGUUUCUGACUGAGCUCCAGACCCUGAGGCAAAGCAAGUAAGUGCUGGAAUCAUAAGCUCUUUAUUUUCUAGUUCUUAACACACUUCUUCACAGGUGAUUUCAUAAUAUAGUGGGAUUAUCUAAUAACUAUAUGUACAUCUCUUGAAAAAAAAGUCUAUUCAUAUAAUUCAUAAAAAUAGUCUAUUCGUAUAAUUCAAAUUGUCUAUUCAUAUAUUAUUAUUAAAUAAUAAUAAUAGUGUUGGGAUUAAGACUCUACUUAAUAAAUAUUAGUAAAUUAAGGAAAAGUAUGCAGUGUAUACCAUCAGCAUAAUGCAACAUUCAUUUGAAAAUGAAUACUCUUUUUAAUUUGAAUAACUGCUUAAAAAGGCAGUUUAAGAUUAGAUUCACUUUACUAUUGUGAGGUAGAAAACUGAGAGAAGUUAUAUCAGUUUUCAUAACCUAAGCAUCACAUGCCAUCUCUGAAUGAUCACAUAUUUUAAAUAGCUUAUUAUAAGUAAAAUGUCAUUCUGCUGCCUCUGCUAAGUCGCUUCAGUUGUGUCCGACUCUG